AACGAACGCUGGCGGCAGGCCUAACACAUGCAAGUCGAACGCCCUCUUCGGAGGGAGUGGCAGACGGGUGAGUAACGCGUGGGAACCUUCCCUGUGGUACGGAAUAACUCAGAGAAAUUUGAGCUAAUACCGUAUACGCCCUUCGGGGGAAAGAUUUAUCGCCAUAGGAUGGGCCCGCGUCGGAUUAGCUAGUUGGUGAGGUAAUGGCUCACCAAGGCAACGAUCCGUAGCUGGUCUUAGAGGAUGAUCAGCCACACUGGGACUGAGACACGGCCCAGACUCCUACGGGAGGCAGCAGUGGGGAAUAUUGGACAAUGGGCGCAAGCCUGAUCCAGCCAUGCCGCGUGAGUGACGAAGGCCUUAGGGUUGUAAAGCUCUUUUGGCGGGGACGAUAAUGACGGUACCCGCAGAAUAAGCCCCCGGCUAACUUCGUGCCAGCGCCGCGGUAA
rnacentral:rRNA from 1 species